CGACCCAGCAACGCCGCGUGAAGGAUGAAAUCCCUCGGGAUGUAAACUUCGCAAGAACAGGAAGAAUAAGUAAGGGUUAAUAUCUCUUACGAUGACGGUACUGUUUGUAAGCUCCGGCUAACUCCGUGCCAGCAGCCGCGGUAAUACGGGGGGUGCAAGCGUUGUUCGGAUUUACUGGGCGUAAAGGGCGCGUAGGCGGCCACCGCAAGUCAGUUGUGAAAGCUCUGGGCUUAACCCAGAAAGGUCAACUGAUACUGCGGGGCUAGAGUGCAGAAGGGGCAACUGGAAUUCUCGGUGUAGCGGUGAAAUGCGUAGAUAUCGAGAGGAACACCUGCGGCGAAGGCGGGUUGCUGGGCUGACACUGACGCUGAGGCGCGAAAGCGUGGGGAGCAAACAGGAUUAGAUACCCUGGUAGUCCACGCCGUAAACGAUGAGUGCUAGACGUCGGGACCCUCAGGGUUUCGGUGUCGCCGCCAACGCAUUAAGCACUCCGCCUGGGGAGUACGGCCGCAAGGUUA
rnacentral:rRNA from 1 species